AAAUCACCUGAAAGACAUGACUGGUGUUUUUGAAUUUAUGCAAAAUGAAAUCUAAAACUCCUGGGUAUUUACAGCUGUAGAUAGAUUAGGCAUAUUGAAGCUACUUUUUGAAAUUUUAUAUUGGGCCGAAGUUGCUAUGAGCUAUAGAUGCUCAACACUGGCAGCAGUGUAAAAAACAGCUGAUUUGAAAUUGAGUCGGAGUUGCAUGCUGGAACAGACAAAAAGGUGAAUGUUUGCUGUUUACUGCUCUUGGUUCCAUUUUCAACAGGAGAAGAUAUUACUGAAGUUGAUAUAGUCACUUCAACACAGCCUCCUACCUCAAUCACAGAAAAUGAAAAUGUUCCACCAGCCAUAAACUCAGUAGUAAACGACUAUCCCACAAACUAUCAACCAUCAGUACCCAAUUUUGGUUUCGGAAACUCGCCACCAUACAUUUUACAUAAUCUUCUUUCGCAAGUUUUUAGGCCCACAAAAAACACCGGUAAAACAUACGGGCCUAAUGUGAUUGCAAUUAUCGGCGAUAAGCCGUAUAUUUCGAUGGAAAUUUUCCAUAAAUUUGCUCCAUUUAGAUGGCUGAUGCACGCUUUUCAGGGUAAAAUUCAGAACAUUUGUGGUUUUUUGGCACCCCCAAUCGGGGAUGAUGAAUUCUCAUUUUCAAAUCCUCAAAAUAAUCCGCCACUAGUUCUGGGGGACGAACAAACCCCUGUACAUGGAGCGAAACCGGACAUAUCCAGACCAGUGAGGAUCUAUAAUGUACCUAUUGGAUUUCGAAGGAAGAUAUGACAAAAUAUGAAUGGAAAAGGCAAAUAUGUAUACUUUUCAGGUGUUUGAAUAAAACUGUUAGAAAUUU